GGACCCCUCAGCGUUUGUUAAGCUAGCUAAGCUAACGUUAGCCGGGUUCAUGUUUGUAGCUCACAGACGAAAACGUGACUUAAUACGACUUUAGUUGAACAGUUUGUCUGUUAAAAUUAAGUCUGAGGGUCGCCACCUCGUCCUAACUCAGGGUGCAGGCCUGUCAAUCAUGUUAGCAGCUCCGCUAACUCACUGCAAGGAGCCCUCCUGUUAGCAUGCUACCUGUAAGCAGAGCGCUGGGACAGCAGAGCUAAGCUAUGCUAAGCUAAGCUAAGCUAAGCCAGUGCAGUGGAGGCCGACCCGCCUGCAGCACGACCUUAGCACAGUUCCCCAAACACCGAGGUCCUGCAGAUGUUCGGCAGUCUCUACAGAGGCAGCUGUCAGUCCAUUGAUUAAUUAGUCGAUCACAGAAAAUUGAUCAGCAACUGUUCAGAUAAUCAGUUCAUGUGUUUUUCAAGCUAAAUGUCAGAUAUUUGCUGGUUCCAGUUUAAAUGAGAAGACUGGCUGCUGCUGCUUUCGGUUUGGUGAAGUCAGUGUUUGAGGUUUGGACAGAACGCUUGUCUGAUGAUUAACAGACGAAACGAUUGAUCAGCAGGUUUCGGUUCCUCUGACUGCGAGCUUCCUUCACAGUAAAAUGGCGGCCGGCGUGUGUGCUGCUCGCUGUGUGGAUCCUUCGGGUUUCCUUCCUCACGAAGCGUCGCCACGGCGUCGCCGAGUGUGAGGUAAACCAGACCUGGACCCAGAUGCAGAGAAACGGCUCCACAUCAGUGCAGUCCCGAGUUACAGCGACCUCAGAGGAACCAGGGAUCUGUGGGACCAGGACUAAACCAGAAACCCAGCCGCACCGAAGACCAUCCAGUGAUUUAUGAAGCAGAAGGUCGAUGUAGUUUUACGCCUCCACGUCUGCGGAGUGUUGCAUUGUGGGCCAGAAGCGUACAGAGACGAACUGAUCUGUGUUCAGCCGGUCACAGCAGCAGCUGUCCUGUAAAUGUCACGACCCGCCCCCGAACGUCUGAGGGGGAGGGUCGUGCACGGCGCUGCGAGGAGGCGCGGGGCGUUGACCUCUCCGGGAGCGACAGCUGCCGGUGUCAGACUGACUUCAGAGACUUUUCUUACACGCGAGCUGCGCAGCUCUGUGUGUACAUUCAAGGUGCAGGCCUUGAAAAGCCUGGAAAUGUUUGGAAUGAGGUGACAGUCGGGAUGUGUCUACAGCGACCGAGGGGAACGCUUGCUGCUUUGACAUCUCUGGUUGCCGAUCAGCCGGCGUAAUCGCAGACUGAUUGAUCUGUGAUAAGCCGAUACCUGCAGAUUCAUCACUCUUCCAUAUUCUGACGAUUUAAAUCUUCGUCAUCGUAAAACGCGACGCUCGAAGACUUUCAGGAAACUGCGAUGGAGCCUUUUCACUCCUUUUUGUCAUUGGCCUGUCAAUGGACUGAGAAGAUAAUCGGCACACUAAUCAAUAAUGAAAAUACUUGUUAGCUUCGGCCCUAAUGUGGACUAUGGCCUGCAGUCACGUCCACAUUGUUGAAUUAUGGGUAAUCCUCGGCGUGGCAGAGCGGUUUAGGCCCGUGUGGACCUGGACAGACCUCAGAACAGUUGCAGUAUUUCUCCCUUUGGUGGUUUACGAAGCCGCGGCGGUUUUGUCCCGUAGCGUCGGCCAUAAGGUCGCGUGAUGAAAGCGUGUUUGUUGCAUCACUAAGUGGAUUAUGAGACCGUCGAAUCCUCUGCUCGCUGAUCUGCUGUCACUCCCAACGUCAAACAGUUAGCAUGAUGCAGAGCGCGUUAGCAUCAGCGCAGACAGCCAGCGGUGCUGCUGUGCACAGCGCACUGAUGAAGAAGAAGAAGAAUGAGCUCGUCACGGUCCGUCACCGGUCCGUCACCGGUCCGUCACCGGUCCGAUGCUUUCCAACACGCUGGCUUGUCAAACAAGCAAAGGAUGGGUGCGACAGUCUUUGUGCAGCCGUUGGACCUGGUGAAGAACCGGAUGCAGCUGAGCGGUCAGGGCACGAAGGCUCGAGAGUACAAAACCAGCUUCCACGCUCUGUUCUCCAUCCUGAGGAACGAGGGAGUCAGAGGCAUCUACACCGGUCUGUCAGCAGGUUUGUUGCGUCAGGCGACGUACACGACGACUCGUCUGGGAAUCUACACCAUCCUGUUCGAGAAGAUGACCGGAGCGGACGGGCGGCCGCCAAACUUCCUCCUCAAGGCUCUGAUCGGUAUGACAGCUGGAGCUACAGGAGCGUUUGUCGGGACACCAGCAGAGGUCGCUCUGAUCAGGAUGACCGCUGACGGACGUCUUCCUGCGGACCAGAGGAGAGGUUACACCAACGUUUUUAACGCUCUGGCUCGAAUCACCAGAGAGGAAGGAGUCACCACGCUGUGGAGGGGGUGUGUUCCCACCAUGGCUCGAGCAGUGGUGGUGAACGCAGCUCAGCUGGCCUCCUACUCUCAGUCCAAACAGGCGCUGCUGGACUCAGGGUAUUUCGGAGACGAUAUUCUGUGUCACUUCUGUGCCAGUAUGAUCAGCGGACUGGUUACCACGGCAGCGUCGAUGCCCGUCGACAUCGUGAAGACCAGGAUUCAGAACAUGAGGAUGAUCGACGGGAAGCCCGAGUAUAAAAACGGUUUGGUGAGUCGAUGCUGAUGUUUCUGUGUAUUUAAAGUCUUUUCAGUCUCUAACAUUGUACGUGUCACAGCGAGACAGGUCGACCCCUGAGGGGGCGUGUCUCUAAAUGUUAGGGAGAUAGGGUCCUUCUGCUGCCGCUCUGCCUUCUUCUUCUGUGUUUCGGUGUUUGCGCGGCAGCGUGUGACCUGUUUCCUGUCUCCGCCCCUCAGGAGGUGCUGAUGCGAGU